AGAGUUUGAUCCUGGCUCAGGAUGAACGCUGGCGGCGUGCUUAACACAUGCAAGUCGAACGAAGCAUUUGCGACAGAUUUCUUCGGAUUGAAGUUGCUUAUGACUGAGUGGCGGACGGGUGAGUAACGCGUGGGUAACCUGCCUCAUACAGGGGGAUAGCAGCUGGAAACGGCUGGUAAUACCGCAUAAGCGCACAGUACCACAUGGUACAGUGUGAAAAACUCCGGUGGUAUGAGAUGGACCCGCGUCUGAUUAGCUUGUUGGCGGGGUAACGGCCCACCAAGGCGACGAUCAGUAGCCGACCUGAGAGGGUGACCGGCCACAUUGGGACUGAGACACGGCCCAGACUCCUACGGGAGGCAGCAGUGGGGAAUAUUGCACAAUGGGGGAAACCCUGAUGCAGCGACGCCGCGUGGAGGAAGAAGGUCUUCGGAUUGUAAACUCCUGUUGUUGAGGAAGAUAAUGACGGUACUCAACAAGGAAGUGACGGCUAACUACGUGCCAGCAGCCGCGGUAAAACGUAGGUCACAAGCGUUGUCCGGAAUUACUGGGUGUAAAGGGAGCGCAGGCGGGAAGACAAGUUGGAAGUGAAAUCCAUGGGCUCAACCCAUGAACUGCUUUCAAAACUGUUUUUCUUGAGUAGUGCAGAGGUAGGCGGAAUUCCCGGUGUAGCGGUGGAAUGCGUAGAUAUCGGGAGGAACACCAGUGGCGAAGGCGGCCUACUGGGCACCAACUGACGCUGAGGCUCGAAAGUGUGGGUAGCAAACAGGAUUAGAUACCCUGGUAGUCCACACCGUAAACGAUGAUUACUAGGUGUUGGAGGAUUGACCCCUUCAGUGCCGCAGUUAACACAAUAAGUAAUCCACCUGGGGAGUACGACCGCAAGGUUGAAACUCAAAGGAAUUGACGGGGGCCCGCACAAGCAGUGGAGUAUGUGGUUUAAUUCGACGCAACGCGAAGAACCUUACCAAGUCUUGACAUCCUGCGACGGUGCUGGAAACAGUACUUUCCUUCGGGACGCAGAGACAGGUGGUGCAUGGUUGUCGUCAGCUCGUGUCGUGAGAUGUUGGGUUAAGUCCCGCAACGAGCGCAACCCUUAUGGUCAGUUACUACGCAAGAGGACUCUGGCCAGACUGCCGUUGACAAAACGGAGGAAGGUGGGGAUGACGUCAAAUCAUCAUGCCCUUUAUGACUUGGGCUACACACGUACUACAAUGGCGUUAAACAAAGAGAAGCAAGACCGCGAGGUGGAGCAAAACUCAGAAACAACGUCCCAGUUCGGACUGCAGGCUGCAACUCGCCUGCACGAAGUCGGAAUUGCUAGUAAUCGUGGAUCAGCAUGCCACGGUGAAUACGUUCCCGGGCCUUGUACACACCGCCCGUCACACCAUGAGAGCCGGGGGGACCCGAAGUCGGUAGUCUAACCGCAAGGAGGACGCCGCCGAAGGUAAAACUGGUGAUUGGGGUGAAGUCGUAACAAGGUAGCCGUAGGAGAACCUGCGGCUG
rnacentral:rRNA from 1 species